GACGAACGCUGGCGGCGUGCUUAACACAUGCAAGUCGAACGGAAAGUCCCGGCUUUUUUGCGGUGCUCGAGUUGCGAACGGGUGAGUAACACGUGAGUAACCUGCCCUUCACUGUGGGAUAACUUCAGGAAACUGGGGCUAAUACCGGAUAGGAGCUCCUGCUGCAUGGUGGGGGUGGGUUAGUUUCGGCGGUUGGUGAUGGACUGGCGUCUCAUCAGCUUGUUGGUGGGGUAGUGGCUUACCAAGGCUUUGAGGCGUAGCCUGCCUGAGCGGGUGACAGGCUAAACUGGGACUGAGAUACGACACAGACUACUCUGGGAGGCAGCAGUGGGGAAUAUUGCACAAUGGGAGGAAGCCUGAUGCGACCAAGCAGCGUGGGGGAUGACGGGAUUGGGGUUGUAAACCGCUUUCGCCUGUCCCGAAGCGUGAGUGACGGUACUGGGUAAAGAAGCACCGGCUAACUACGUG
rnacentral:rRNA from 1 species